GCAGCGUCGAAACAGGUGGUGGGGUUAGGAUAGCGACCACGUCAAGCACAUACGCAUUUCAGCACUUCCACAGGACAUUGUGCAGUUUGGAGCAGAGCGGGCUCGAAGGAAAGGUCAGUCAAUAUCUUUGUGAUAUAAAAGGCCUGAAAAUGAUACUGCUGCUGUGGACUUUUGUGGGAAGCCUCUUCUUCGCUUGCGCAUCGAACACAAUGGCUGAAAAGCGAGGGAUGACAACACCGGGGUCUCGGCUACCAAGAGAGCGCGAGAUUGUGCAAGACGAUUUGACAUGCCGUGAAGUGUACGAGCCGUGCUUAGCGAACACUGACUGCUGCGCCCACUUGCCAUGCAUCAACAAGCGAUGUUCCCUUUAGGAGCCAUCGAUGGAAAAUCCUGGGUUGACCACCGAGGGCAGCUCAGAAAGUGGGGCUCCCGCUGGGCGAAAAACAAUUUGGGAUACCUUCCCAACGCACAGGAAAAUGGCUUACACCAUAUGCCACUUGCUCUUUCUUCAUGCCCGAUAGUUAUAUGUUAUAGCGGGUACGCCCGGAAUAAAAUAUCUUGAAGUGUC